GAUGAACGCUGGCGGCGUGCCUAAUACAUGCAAGUCGAGCGAACGGACGAGAAGCUUGCUUCUCUGAUGUUAGCGGCGGACGGGUGAGUAACACGUGGAUAACCUACCUAUAAGACUGGGAUAACUUCGGGAAACCGGAGCUAAUACCGGAUGAUAUUUUGAACCGCAUGGUUCAAAAGUGAAAGACGGUCUUGCUGUCACUAAUAGAUGGAUCCGCGCUGCAUUAGCUAGUUGGUAAGGUAACGGCUUACCAAGGCAACGAUGCAUAGCCGACCUCAGAGGGUGAUCGGCCACACUGGAACUGAGACACGGUCCAGACUCCUACGGGAGGCAGCAGUAGGGAAUCUUCCGCAAUGGGCGAAAGCCUGACGGAGCAACGCCGCGUGAGUGAUGAAGGUCUUCGGAUCGUAAAACUCUGUUAUUAGGGAAGAACAUAUGUGUAAGUAACUGUGCACAUCUUGACGGUACCUAAUCAGAAAGCCACGGCUAACUACGUG
rnacentral:rRNA from 1 species